AUGGCGAUGACCUCGUAGUGAUUCAUCAUCCAAUGGCUUCACAUUCAGAAACACUGUUCCACAGCUGGAUGCUCGCUCGCAAGGUCAGAUCAUUGGGAGUGUGCUUGAGUGUCGUCUCCAUUUGCUUGCCAUGGCAACAGUGAACGGUGGCAUGGCAGCCAGCAUACAGGCUUCAGGGACAAAACACCAUCUGACUCAGCCUGAUACGCCCCAAACUCUCGCUAUUGGCUGCACAGAGUUGGAAUGUCUCACAAUCAGUCACACCCGGGUGUUAAAUUGUGACGAUGGACUUCAGCACGUCUGUCAGACCUGUUCACACACCAUCAUGGAAUCCCACACCCAUGAAGUCACUAACCAGGACCUGCUUAAAGAUGUAUUUCCCUUUACACAAACACAUGGGGGUGGCUAGUGGACUAUAUGUCAUCAGGAUCAGGUUUCAGAGGAUUCUGGACAAUGAUUGGAUAAGAGCACAGCAGAGGAAGAACAAGUUACUUUGGAGUGCAAAGGUAAAUUUAUGAGCUUGCUUAUAUAAAGCCAUCAC
ensembl:lncRNA